CUAACAUGCAAGUCGAACGAUGAUCCCAGCUUGCUGGGGGAUUAGUGGCGAACGGGUGAGUAACACGUGAGUAACCUGCCCUUGACUCUGGGAUAAGCCUGGGAAACUGGGUCUAAUACCGGAUAUGACUCCUCAUCGCAUGGUGGGGGGUGGAAAGCUUUUGUGGUUUUGGAUGGACUCGCGGCCUAUCAGCUUGUUGGUGGGGUAAUGGCCUACCAAGGCGACGACGGGUAGCCGGCCUGAGAGGGUGACCGGCCACACUGGGACUGAGACACGGCCCAGACUCCUACGGGAGGCAGCAGUGGGGAAUAUUGCACAAUGGGCGCAAGCCUGAUGCAGCGACGCCGCGUGAGGGAUGACGGCCUUCGGGUUGUAAACCUCUUUCAGUAGGGAAGAAGCGAAAGUGACGGUACCUGCAGAAGAAGCGCCGGCUAACUACGUGCCAGCAGCCGCGGUAAUACGUAGGGCGCAAGCGUUAUCCGGAAUUAUUGGGCGUAAAGAGCUCGUAGGCGGUUUGUCGCGUCUGCUGUGAAAGACCGGGGCUCAACUCCGGUUCUGCAGUGGGUACGGGCAGACUAGAGUGCAGUAGGGGAGACUGGAAUUCCUGGUGUAGCGGUGAAAUGCGCAGAUAUCAGGAGGAACACCGAUGGCGAAGGCAGGUCUCUGGGCUGUAACUGACGCUGAGGAGCGAAAGCAUGGGGAGCGAACAGGAUUAGAUACCCUGGUAGUCCAUGCCGUAAACGUUGGGCACUAGGUGUGGGGGACAUUCCACGUUUUCCGCGCCGUAGCUAACGCAUUAAGUGCCCCGCCUGGGGAGUACGGCCGCAAGGCUAAAACUCAAA
rnacentral:rRNA from 1 species